AUUAUCCCCUAACCCAAUAGAUGUAAUCAAUUCCAAUGAAUCUUCCAGUCCAUUUUCUUCAUAAACACCCAAAAUCCUCUCAUCAUCUUGCAAUGUACCUAUCUUGCGUAACUGUCCUUCAAUAUCAUAUAAUCUUUUUCUUUCUUUUCUUUUAAAAUCAUCAACUUUCUUAUACAUAAUAUUUCCAUUCUCUAAUAUAC
rnacentral:lncRNA from 1 species